rnacentral:rRNA from 1 species
UACGAAGGGGGCUAGCGUUGUUCGGAAUUACUGGGCGUAAAGCGUGCGCAGGCGGUUUCUGAAGUCCGUUGUGAAAGCCCCGGGCUUAACCUGGGAAUGGCAGUGGAAACUAGGAGACUUGAAUCUGGCAGAGGGGGGUGGAAUGCCACGGUGUAGCAGUGAAAUGCGUAGAGAUGUGGCGGAACACCGAUGGCGAAGGCAGCCCCUGGGUCAAGAUUGACGCUCAGGCACGAAGCGUGGGAGCAAACAGG